GAUGAACGCUGGCGGCGUGCCUAAUACAUGCAAGUCGAGCGAACGGACGAGAAGCUUGCUUCUCUGAUGUUAGCGGCGGACGGGUGAGUAACACGUGGAUAACCUACCUAUAAGACUGGGAUAACUUCGGGAAACCGGAGCUAAUACUGGGAAAUAUUUUGAACCGCAUGGUUCAAAAGUGAAAGACGGUCUUGCUGUCACUUAUAGAUGGAUCCGCGCUGCAUUAGCUAGUUGGUAAGGUAACGGCUUACCAAGGCAACGAUGCAUAGCCGACCGGGGAGGGUGAUCGGCCACACUGGAGCGUAGACACGGUCCAGACGCCUGCGGGAGGCAGCAGUAGGGAAUCUUCCGCAAUGGGCGAGAGCCUUACGCAGCAACGCCGCGUGAGUGAUGAAGGUCUUCGGAGCGUAAAACUCUGUUAUGAGGGAAGAACAUAUGUGUAAGUAACUGUGCACAUCUUGACGGUACCUAAUCAGAAAGCCACGGCUAACUACGUG
rnacentral:rRNA from 1 species